GGAUAGCUCAGCUGGUUAGAGCGUAGCGCUGAUAACACCAAGGUUGCAGGUUCGAUUCCCGGAUGGGACA